rnacentral:rRNA from 1 species
UACGUAGGUGGUUUGUCGCGUUGUCCGUGAAAACUCACAGCUCAACUGUGGGCGUGCGGGCGAUACGGGCAGACUGGAGUACUGCAGGGGAGACUGGAAUUCCUGGUGUAGCGGUGGAAUGCGCAGAUAUCAGGAGGAACACCGGUGGCGAAGGCGGGUCUCUGGGCAGUGAACUGACGCUGAGGAGCGAAAGCGUGGGGAGCAAACAGG